UGAAUGGAUGAAUGGAUGGACAGAUGGAUGGAUGGAUGGAUGGAUGGACAGAUGGAUGGAUGGGAGUGGAUGGAUAAGUGGGAGAAUAAAUGGGUGUGUGGGUAGGUAAGCAGACAGGUACAAAGAACAACUGAUAGAUAACAGGGUUUUACUUUAGGGAAUUGUCUCAUGGUAUUGUGGGGGCUGACAAGUCCAAAAUUCUGCAGGGCAGCAGGGCAGCCUGGAAACUCAGGCAGGAGUUGGUGCUGUAGUCUUGAGGCAGAUUUUCUUCUCCACUGGAGAAGAAACCUGUUUUUUCUCUUAAUGCCCUCAGCAGAUUGGAUGGGGGUCAUCUCUUCAUUAUUGAGGGUGAUCUUUACUUAAAGUCAUUUUCUUAAAACUUUUUCUUUUUUUUUUUUUAGAGACAGGGUUUCACCAUGUUGGUCAGGCUGCUCUCGAACUCCCGACCUCAGGUGAUCCGCCUGCCUCAGCCUCCCAAAGUGCUGGGAUUACAGGCGUGAGCCACCGCGCCCGGCCUUAAAAUCAUUUUAAGGCCAAAUCAUUCGUAGCUCCUGCUCCAAGCAGCUUGGCCAUAGUGAAGGAAGAAAGAAAUUCAAGUGGGGCCUGCUCUGCUCUAGUCAUCUCAGGGAGCCGGGUCCAGCCCCACCCAGCUGACUGCACCUUUCUUUAGCCUUGGUGAGCCUACAGUGUCUCAUCUGUAAGACAGGGUGACACUCAACACCAUGACCUCAAGGGAACACCCGACUGGGAGGCCCGCAGAACAAGCACUUUGUAAGUUACACAGGCAAGGGCUCCUGACUAAGCCUCCUCAAAACCGCCCCUCCCAUGCCCACACAGCAGCUCUGAGAAGCACAGCCUGGUGACAAAGUUGCUAAGAAGGGACACGAUGUCUUGCUUGAUCAGCAGCCGGGGGUGGUGGCGAUGUGGGACCAGAGGCUUGAGCUUGCCGGCAAGGCCAGCAAGGCCAGGCGCAGGCUUCUGGUAGGACCCUUCUGGCCUCCCACAACAAGAGCUGCUCUCACCGUCUGACGGCUGCCUUCUGGGUCCUCUGCAGGGCUGUGUGCCUGAGUGGUCAUCAACCAAAGGUCAUGUGGCUGGGGGAGCCCUGUGGCUUCUGGUCUGCAGGGGUCUGGGCUCCAUGUGACCUUCUCUCUCUAGGUUUCUGUUUCUUCUCCCCAGCUGGGAGCCCUGAGACCUGCAGUUUUCCUCCCGGGUCCCACAAGUCAUAGCUCUGGAAGACCAUGUCCCUUGUGGGGCCUGAUACCGGUGGUCCCCUCUGGUGGGGUGAAUUGCACCUUCCAGAAAGGAAUGAAGCUUCAUCGGAGGAAGAGCUUUUGGAAGACAAGCCACAUCCAAGCUUUGCAGUUGAAGUCGAUCAAUUCCUGGAGUGUACUUAGAGAUGAAGAAAGGGCAGGGAUCCUGCCACUUUGGUGAGAGAAAGCCUGGAGUUUCCCCAACUGAGUGGAGCCCCCGACGGCCUCGGGACGCCCGCUGCUUGUUCUGCCGCCCUGUGCCUCUGACUUGCAGGGUUUCCGCACAGCUGGGUUUCCGGAGCGGACACCUUCUUUCUAGACCAGGCCCCAGGUGAGCACAGCCACACUGUGCUGCUCUUCACAGAAGCAAUUUGUGGGAAGCCCCAGCAGAUUCAGGAAGAGGUCAUGGCGGCGGGAGAGGGGCUCAGGCAGCUCUGACCUCUUUCCUUGGCUGAGGGUGAGCAGCAGCCGCAGUGGGGGCCUGCGCUGAUCCCACAGUUCAGUGGCCACUCUCCUCUGGGCUGGAGACCCCCUUGGGGAGUGGAGGUGACCCCUAACUUCGCUAGAGGGCCAGAGACGCUUCUCCAAGGAGGGGAUCUCAACCAAGGUCCAGAGGGUAAGCCUGAGCUAUCCGGGAGAAGACGGGGCACUCCCAGCAGCCCUGGGUGGGGGGCAGCAGGCCUGGAAUGGCUCGGGCCCAGCUGGGCAAGUAGCCUGGCCAUGCACCUCACACUGGACCCCAUGACUCCCGGCUUCCGCCUUUGACCUCUUGAAUGCCCCCUGGAGGGGAUGAUAGAUUCCAGAAGGCCAGGGGCUAAAGGCCAGGGACUCUCUUCAGCAGGGCCCAGGUGUGCGGCCUGCCGGCUCCGCUUGCCCAUAGUUUGCAAUUGGGUAAGCAAUGCCUCAGUUUUCUCAUCUGUGACAUUGGGAUGAUGAUGAGAUGAUGACAAUGAUAGGGUCUUCUGAGCCUUGGCACAGAGCCGUCAGGACACAGCAGCCCUGGCUGUCACUGUUUGCUUCACCUGGCCUGGCCCCAGGAGUUCUGGGUGCAGUGUCACACGUCCCUCCGCCUCUCAGCCAGCCUGGAGUUGCUCCCACUGGGGCUUAGACAGGACCCCUCCAUCGAGGCUCUCCUGUCCCCUAAAGCAGCCACCAGCCCAUGGGAUGCUGGGCCCUCUCCCUUCCGGCCCCUCCUGGCCCAGCCUCAAGAAACCCACAGCCCCACCUGCCCCAGUCCACGUGAGGCCAGCACUAUGGGGUCUGCCCAGCCCCCAACCCUACCCAGCAUGUGUCCUUCUACACUCUCUGCGGCCUUCACACUCGCUGAAAGGGCAAUAGCUUUUUCAGGAGAAAUGACCCUAAUUUUGAAGCAAUUUAAAGGUCAUAGAGCGGUGACAGGUUCCCACGUUUGUGGUGGGGGCAUCUGUCAUGAAGAGAGUAAGUCUUUACCUGUGAUCACAGGACUCACAUUUUAGGAAGUCUCACCCAGCUCAACCACGUAGGAAAAGCAUUCCCCAGAUCACCAUGGUGGAGCUCUUCACCGGAGCGCCUGGCUUUAUGUCUUCAAUAUACGUUUGUGAAAGGUGUCACUCAGGCUGCAGUGUAGUGGUCCACUCAUGGCUCACUGCAAUCUCUGCCUCCAACAUUCAAGCGAUCCUCCCAGCUCAGCCUCCAGAGGAGCUGAACCACAGGCACGCAC